UUAAUGCUAACACUUCGACACAGUUCCAAAAUUUCACCGUCGAAGUGUUUGCAAUAACUGCACGCUUUCCAGCAAAAACAAUUGUGUAUUUUAAAACUACAUACUAUCCGACAUUCGGUGUGCCAACUUAUUAAUCAAAAUUUAAUUGAUAUAAACAAGAAAAUGCAACUACUAACCUUUCAAGCGGCGAGUUCGACUGUAACUUCCGGUGUGUGUAUAUCCAUCACGUGAUUUUGAUUG
rnacentral:lncRNA from 1 species